GGUCUUCUUGCACAUAGAAAGCUGUGUCUGAAAAGGAAUAUAAUGAAGAUCCUGUCAAAUCUUGGGUCCUGCAGGUUGAGCUCAAAUUAUGUUGGAACCAUUGACAUGCAGGGAUGUGGCCAUUGAUUUCUCUGAAGAGGAAUGGAAAUGUCUGGACCCGGUUCAGCAGACUUUAUAUGGAGAUGUGAUGCUAGAGAUCUAUAGAAACCUGGUCUUUGUGGGUAUGUCUUCUCAUCAAAAUUCAGAAUUUUCAGAAGAGCAGGAAAUAAAAUGUUUUUUGCAAAAUUUGAUUCAGAGAAGCUCUCUCUUGCUGCACAAUCGCAAAGACUGGAGAAUAUGGAAGAUUGAGCCUCUGUGGGAUUAGAAGUGUCUGACAUUGGAAUCUAUCAUCAACUGAAGCCUUCGGUCCUCCAUCUCUGAAUCCUCAAACUCCACAAACCUGACAGGUGGUUUACCAACACCAAGCUAGUGAAACUUGUACCCUGUGGACAGACCUCACUGAUGAUGGACAUCCCCUGAACAAGAGCUCAAGGAGAAGUUCUCGGUCCCUGGGGAGAACACUCACAUGAGGAAGCAGGAAAGUGCUUCCACAUCGGGAGUCUGAGAAGGUGCAGGUGGAUCAGGAUCUUGAAGUGCUGUCAGUGCUAGAAGUUUUCAUAGAUGUUCUGUCAUCCACUGCAGUUAUCGGAAGGUUUAGGGGGAGGACCAGUCUAAAUCUGGAAACAAGACCCAAUAGAUGGACACUUGUGCACCCUGGGUCCUGACAACCCCAGAAAUCUCACUGCAUGGAUGUGCACAGAAAACAUGGCAGAAGGCAGCAGCCAGAGAAGAUUUUUUUUCUACCAAACUGCCUUUAUUCCCAUUGACAGUCAAACAAGGUACAGCUUCCCACCCAGGCUUGAACAUUGUGACCCUCCCCUCUCAGUAACUUCCUGCUGCUCUCUUUCUACAUUCCCUAUACCCUCCCACUCCCUUCAUUUUUCUGAGAUCCCACAGGAACUGUCCUAUGUGAGGAAGAACCUUUGGCCCUUCCAGUGCAGAAUGAAGCAAAGGUGAAAUCUUGCCUGAGGAGCAGCCAACCCAGAGGCCACUGGCCAACAUGACUGUCCUCAGGGCCUCUUCUUCUUUUGGUUGUCUCAAGAUGUGCACUUCCUCUUCUGAGGCUGUGAGGUUUGAGCCAGCUCCAGAUCCAUAUCUUGCCCUCCAAAGACCUUUAGGGGAGACCCAGUACAGGGCAUUUUUUCUAUGAAGCAUGAGUGUCCAGUGAGAGUGCUCUUCAUGGACAUGGCACCUGGAGGAGGGUGGGAGCUGAGGCGUCCUCUCUGGGGAGUUGGGGCCUGGAGUGCUUGAUCUCCUGAGCACAGGGUUUCUAUUGGAGGGGCUUGGCUCUGGGACAGUCCCCAGGGCAGCAGGCGGUGCUGGGAGCUAAGGAGGAAAUUCGGGCUUUGGGGGUCAUCAUCCACACUGCAGCCAUUGGCCUAGAAGAAGUGGCUUUUCUGUGAUCCACUGUGCCUUUGUUUCCCAGGUUUAAGGAGGAGGAUAUGCAGUUCUGGAGAGGAUGGUUGGAGUGGAUGGUCCCCAAUGAUGAAGAUCAGUGACAUCCUUGGAGGAUAGCAGUGUCCUUUGAACCCAGCAACUCUGGCUUGGUGGGCCUGCACCUCUUCAUGACCUGGGAAGCCACUUCUGUGGACCAGUCCUCCAUGCUGGCCCCUUGAUCAGUGCAAUGUUUCCACUUCUCUGCACCUUGUUUGGCAGCUUCCUCGGAAGCACCUUGUGUCCAGUUGGGACAUACCAUGACCUUGAGGCACCUGCAAAGGUGCUUCUUCACAAGCUGAAGGAGGAUAUGGGUACUGGCCAACUUUUCUUUAUGCAUGAAAUGGGCCACAGGGAUCAGGACAAUCAUAUUUCAGUGGGAGGUGGGAAGUGGGGCUGUCACUCAUCUUGGUCUCAGAGAAACCUGGCCACCCUCCUUUCUGCUUGAUAUCCUGAACCCUUCCAUGACUCUCAUGUCUCCUUCCUUUUUUUUCCAUCCUACAUCCUGUGUCCUGGAACAGACUCACUCAGGGAGCCGUCACAAACAGGAUAAGGAUAAACAAAGUCCCAUGAGCCACAUGAGUAAGGUCCUGUGCCUUCCUCAUCUACCUGCUAUCCCUUGCUUCCCUCUCCAACUGUGGUCACUCCCUUUUCUGUUUAUUUGUGACCCUUUGUCUCCUAGUCUGCCAUGUAUUUCUCUGUGCCUUGGUGUCUGUUCCCAAACCCUGGUAAACCUGGUAUAUCUACCUCCUUAGUUCUACCUGGUGCCCCUUUCUCCUUGUCUACCUUUUGUUUCUCCCCUACCCCUGUUUUUUCCUGGUGUCCCUGCACUUCUUUAUCAGGUGUCCCUGCCUCUCUUCUGUACCUCCUACCCCUGGUCUACUGGGAGACCUUCCUUCUGCUUUCUACCUGGUCAGUGGUGAGUCCUUCCUGCUGAUCCAACUCUUUUGUUAGGGCCAAGAUAUUUAUAUAUGGUUUGGAGGAAAGUAUUUCUUCCAGGAAGCAGGUAUGAAUCACAUUCUCUGCCUGGGAUGAGAAGGAAGAGAGUGUGAGUGACCUUGGGAGGAAAUGGCCCCAAGUCAGGAGGCAAAAGCAAGUCUAGGAGAAAGAGGAAGCAAUAAUGAUCCCAUUUUCAUCUGAACCAUGGGGUUGUUAUAUCCCAACUAUCAGCUACACCCAUGUAUGAGUGCACAUGUGUGCAUGCACAUUCUCUCUCUCUCUCUCUCUCUCUCUCUCUCUCUCUCUCUCUCUCUCUCACACACACACACACACACACACACACACACAAACACACACAAAAUGCUGAGAUUCUAAGUCAGGAAGCUCAAUUCCAUGAGUCCUGAAACCUUGAGUACACCAAGAUUGUAGGUCCAGCUUACCUUGUUGACAAAGCCCUCAUCAACAUAGCUCAGGAGACAUGGAUCUGGGUAUAAAUCAUCCUGUAUUGGAUGUUGCUCUAGUCCUUCCUCUCCCAAGUUUUCAGCAAGCUCUUCUGUGGACAAGUAGGAGGGCUCCCACGUGGCAAAGUUAGUAGGCCCAAAUAACUCAUCCAUGAUGUCCAUGUGCUCUUGGAUGGCUUCAGGUGGGAUCUCCUUGGGUGCCUUGGUCUCAGGCCCUUUGUUCUUGGCCACCUUGUUCUUGCAUGCCUUGGUCUUGUGUGCCUUUAUCUCAGGCACCUUGGUCUCUGGUGCCUUGUGUUUGGCUGCUAAUGAAUGGGCAGGCCGUGCCUUAGGGUUGGUCUUUUUGGAGGUGCACACUAGGACAGGGAAGAACAAAUAGUGCGUGAAUGAGGGAUCCAUGUUCAUCCCAAACACUGGGUAGUAGGCAGGGUUCAGGGGACCUAACCUGGUAUGCUCUGCAUGAGGACAACCUGACCCAGGACCUGAGGGAUAUAACAGUGCACCAGAUACAACAUCUAGGAUAGUCAAGUGAGAGGACAUUUGUAGCGAAUGGUAUUGCAUGCACUCUACCCUACCAGGACCCAAGUCCCAGGCAGAUUGUGUAUUGUUUCUUUGUAUAGAUAAGGAGAGAAAGGAGAUCUGUACUUGGCCCAGUCAAUACACAAUUGAAAGCUGGAUGGCCGGGACCUCAGAUGCUAGGGGCUGUUUGCUUGUAAGACUGAAUCUCCCAUACUGAAGGAAAAAUUCUUAUUUGGGACAAUAACUUGCCUUAGCCUUUGUCACUGUUUGGACACUAUCAUAAGCUACUGUGGGAAUGUGUGAACCCUACCUGGCUUUUGGACAGCCUCGGGAACUGGAGGCCUUGGAAUUUCCAUCCUCGGAGUUGCAGGAGGUGGUUGGCACUGGAAGACCCCCUUGGAUCCUCCAUCUCCUCAGCAGCCUCAAACUCCAUGAACGUCGGUGAAAUUUGGGUAAGGCAGGCAAAGGCUGGAACUGAGAAUCAGGGUAGCCAUACCAGACAGGUGCUGGUGUGGGAUUCUAGGCUAUGGAGUAUUCUAAGAUACCAGUCAGGAGCUAGUGGCAGGGAUGCCGAGCUGUGUCCUGGAGUGGGUCAGGCCAGCACAAGGAGGGAGCUGCUACACAGGAAGAACAGCAGUUCUCAGGAAACACUACAUCAACUAGCACCUGAAGGGAAAUCAGAUCUGAGGGACCCCAAUAGGGGCCCUAGCUGACCCUUGUUCUGGCUCUCUCCUGUUUCUUCCAGGAACCAAAUGAUCAGUUUAUUUCUAGAAACUGGUCAGGGAUAUGAUUUACUUAAAAGAACACCAGAGGUCCUGACCCAAUUCAGGGGUACUGAGGCUGGGACCAUGGGCCCUGAAAGGAUCACCUGGGAGACCAAGUUACAGGCAGGGUCAUGUGGAAGUGAAAGCUAAGCUGAGAACAUUGGGUUGCUUCCAAUGGGGGCUGGUUCUUCCCUUGUUAGAAUGGCAGGGAUUGCAUAGAGCAAAGGCACCAGAGAUAUGUCCUGGGGGCAUCUGAGGUGCUGGAUGGCCCUGACAAUGCACUCCCCACCACCAUCCUCUUCUGGAACAUCAGGUUGAAGUAGUGGCCACUUUCAUGAGUUAUAAUUGACCCUACUCCAUAAAGAGGUACCAGUUCCCAGGCAGGUGGUCUGAGUGAAUCCAGUGCAACUUUUCCCCUCUGCAGAGCCAGCAAAGCAGAAGCGGAUUAUUUUUUUUGGUAAUGGGGAGUGAACCCAGGUGCACUUGACCACUGAGCCACAUCCAUGGCCCUUUUUUUAAAUCUUAUUUUGAGAUUUUAAAGUUGCUCAGGCUGGCCUUGAACUUAUGAUACUCCUGACUUGGCCUCCCAAGUCUCUGGGAUUUCAGGCAUGUACCACCACACCUGGCUUAAAAGUUAGUUUUUUGUUUUUUGUUUUUUUUUAAUGGUAGUAAACAUAACCUAAAUUUUAGCAUUUCAACCAUUUUCCAGUAUUUGCAAUGUGUCAAUGACAUCACAUUGUCACACAACCAAACUAGAACUUUUUUCAUCUUGCAAAACUGAAACUCUAUCCUCAUUAAAGACUAACUCCCCUUCCCUGGCCCCUGGCAAGCAACACUACUCUGAGUGUGAGGACGCUAGGGACCUCAUGGGUGGAAUCACAUGGUAAUUGUCCUUUUGUGGUCUGCUUUGGUUCAUUAGCUCAAUAUCCUCAGCACAGGUCUGCGCUGCAGCAUGUGACUGAACCUGUCUCCAUGUGAAGGCUUAGCACUCUGUAUGAGUGCCACCUCUCCCUCCUCCAUUCAACCUUCCACAGUCCCUUGGAUUCACUGAGUCUUUUCUCCAGCUGCCUUGGAGAAAGUCUUUCUUUGGUGCCCAGCAGCUAUGACUGUGCCAGAUUUGAAUGGCCUGCCCCUGUCCUCCCUGGAGUCUUUAGGCUUCUUAGGCAGCACUCUCUGUUCUGGGAAACUCAGCACAAUCUUUCCAUCUUUCCUCUGGCCUCUUUCUCCUCUUUGCUCACCUGGUUUUCACCCACAGACCUCAGAAGUUCUGUUCUGCUUUUCUCCCCUCUGCUCCUUCUCUGUGUGAGCAUGACAUUUCUACUGCCCAGUCCCCAGUCCUCUGGUUCUUGGCCCCUUCCCCGCUGCUGUCUCCAGAUGGCUGCUGAGCCAUCAAGAAGAGUCUCCUUCUGCACUCCAGGUGUCAUCUGUGGCCUUCCGACUUGGCAAUUUUCUUAAUACCCAUGGUUUCCAAUUGAAAGGGUAAAGUCUCUAAGCUGCAAAGCCUGAGUUAAAAUGUAAAGGACCAGGUAUUGUUAAGUUUCUAAGCUACACUAAAAGCCUGAAAUUCCUGUAGCUGUUAGGACAAUUCCCAGGACUGCCCAUUAGAUAAUCCCCCCUGACCACUUAGUUGUUUAACAACUAAGACCCAGUGCAGUUCAGCAUGUAGGCACCUCAGGGCCUAAACCAAUCAGUUUGAAUGUAUCCCCCUCCUUAGGACUGACCUAUCACUCCAGCCCGACCUGUUGCCGCCAAUGAAUGUACUAAUCAUGUUUGAGAAUUGUUGUUUGAUUUUCCCGCGGUGUAUGGUGAUUUGUUAAAGCGGACUGUGAUGUAUGUAAAGUCCCUGCCCUCCCUAAAAAUGUGUACUUAAGCACUGCUCAACCCCUGCUCAGGGCUCUGGGCCGCUCUCCCUUCUUGAGUGAGCACGGAGCCCCAGUGCGCUGGAUCCUCAAUAAACCCCC